rnacentral:lncRNA from 1 species
CCCUCCUCCGCGUCUCCUCCCUCCCCUCCCCCUCGCCGUGUGUGUACAACAGCUGAGGCCUGGCGAGCUAGUGCUGGAAGUCUAGGGCCGGGGGUGGAAAUCAAACAGACGAUGACCUUUCCUUUCCCUGUCCUGCUUUCCCAAUCUAGGAACCGGAGCUUCAACGAUGGCGCUAAAUGAAUUCAGGGUGAGCUACCCCUCCCCCUAGCUGAACUCUAAAAAUUUUGGCUGAAAGUCUAAAGCUACGAACACCCGGAGGCCUUUAAGGAAAACAGUCAACUGGCUGCGCACAGCUGCAGUUCCUGGCAGAGGGGGAGGUGCCAGAGAGGCUAAACAGGUGAGUGGUUAUUCUUGGUUUGAUAAAAGAAGGUGGGGGCAGCAUUUAAUAACACUGAUAGCUUUUUAUAUAGCAAAGCCACCGUUUUCAAAGUUCUUUCUCACGUGCUGUGAUUUCGUUCCAUACUGCCUCAGAAUGCUUCAGGAGGCUGUGAUUUCUUUUCCUUUAUAAGAUCACUGUUUGUCAUUAUUGCUCAUUGCAGAACAGAUGUGUUGUUCUGGCUGGAGCAUUUCAAAUGAUUCUUCUAUUUGGUCUGCAUUUUUUUUUUUGUUUUGUUUUGUUUUUUCAAGAAAAUUGAGGUAAUUCCCUCUGGGGAAAGGCUGGAGGAGGGGAGGCAAUGGGAUUGGGUUAUGCCAACCUGCGACCAGCAUUGUGAUUUUUCACUAUCACUUACUAGCUUUGCAACCUUAAGCUACUUAUUUACAUAACCUGUUUUCCUUCUGUAAAUGGAAUGACACCUGCCAACUUCAUAGGGUUGUUUCAGAUUUCAGUUUGUUCCUUGUCAAAGUGAGAGGCAACUUACUAUGACAUACUGAGACUUGCUGGGCAAGACACUACAAGGUGAUUUAUUUGCAUCACCCUUAAUAUCAACAUUAUUGAAGGUGUAUUAUUAUCUACAUGGUAUCUACAUUAUUGAGUGCAUUAUAUUAUUAAACUCCUAUUAUUAGCUAUAAGGUAGAUUCUAUUAACUCAGUUUUACAGAGUGGGAAAGUAAAGAAGUUACAUAACUUGCCCAAAGCCAUUGGAGCUGGCACUUGGACCUGAAUCCAGUAAAUCUGAUUUGAGAUGUGCCUUUUACCAGCUUAGACUCCCAGAGGUGGUUUAGGAUGCUCAAAAUUUCCAUCAGCAUUCCAUGCUUUCUUAUAUACAAUCUUGUAUGGAAAGUGCUAGGCAAAUGCAUCUUCAUAACCAACUCCUAGCCGCCUCCUCUAGAUUGAGCCACUGAAGUUUUCAUACGCAGAAGCUGUGGAUCUGUACAUGGAAGACUGUAACCAUGUUGGGCACAUAGGAAACUGCCACUAAGUGUUGGUUAUUGUUAGUAUCAGUACUGUUGCUGGCUAAUGUAAAAGUACUUUGUAAAAGGGCACAGAACAUUGUAAAAGUGUAUAAAGCAUAGGGAUCAUUAUUCUUACUGUUACUACUGUUGCAAUAAAAUUUAGUUGAAG